CUGCCAUAGGCUUUGUCUGCGCC
rnacentral:piRNA from 1 species